GUAAAUCUGUAAUGUGCGAGUUGUCCUUUCACUGUGUUGACCGAACAUUUUUAUCAAUAUAUUGGGAUCCUUCUUGUAUCGAAGUUGGUAACAUGCCUUUUCAUUUGGUAGUUCAAUACUUAGAUCGUGGAACCCACCUGCUAGAUUGCGGGUUCAAUACUAUAGGACGAGUAACGGCAUCAACGGAUUUUAC
rnacentral:other from 2 species